ACAUCCAGCGAACUUGGCAGAGAUGCCUUGGUGCCUUCGGGAACGCUGAGACAGGUGCUGCAUGGCUGUCGUCAGCUCGUGUUGUGAAAUGUUGGGUUAAGUCCCGNAACGAGCGCAACCCUUAUCCUUUGUUGCCAGCGAUUCGGUCGGGAACUCAAAGGAGACUGCCGGUGAUAAACCGGAGGAAGGUGGGGAUGACGUCAAGUCAUCAUGGCCCUUACGAGUAGGGCUACACACGUGCUACAAUGGCGCAUACAAAGAGAAGCGACCUCGCGAGAGCAAGCGGACCUCAUAAAGUGCGUCGUAGUCCGGAUCGGAGUCUGCAACUCGACUCCGUGAAGUCGGAAUCGCUAGUAAUCGUGGAUCAGAAUGCCACGGUGAAUACGUUCCCGGGCCUUGUACACACCGCCCGUCACACCAUGGGAGUGGGUUGCAAAAGAGGUAGGUAGCUUAACCUUCGGGAGGGCGCUUACCACUUUGUGAUUCAUGACUGGGGUGAAGUCGUAACAAGGUAGGCGUAGCGAG
rnacentral:rRNA from 1 species